UGACAGUAGAAGAAAAAAGAAAAAAAAAAAAAAAGAAAAGAAAAGAAGAAGAAAUAAAAGAAUAGGGUUUCAACGAGAUAUAAUCGAGAAUAAAUACAUGAUUUCUUUCCUAAUAUCUCUCCGGAUCGAUUUUUAUUUUUAAAAAUGUGCGUUUAUGUCUGUAUGUAUAUAUAUAUAUACACAUAUAUAUAUA